AAGGAAGGCACGCACAAUGAGUUUGAGUGUUUAUUAUGUUCCAGACAUCAUGUUAAACUCUGAAUCUCCUAUUUAGUCUUCAUCAUAACCCGUAGGUGAAAACCUCAGUAAAGAAAACCCAGGCCAAAGCCAACCCAGCUGCCGCCAGAGCAUCUUCAGCAAAAGGGACAAUUUCAGCCCCUGGAAAAGUUGUCACUGCAGCUGCUCAAGCCAAACAGAGGUCUCCAUCCAAGGUGAAGCCACCAGUGAGAAACCCCCAGAACAGUACCGUCUUGGCGAGGGGCCCAACAUGUGUGCCACCUGUGGGGAAGGCCGUGGCUACAGCAGUUCAGGCCCAGACAGGGCCAGAGGAGGACUCAGGGAGCAGUGAGGAGGAGUCAGACAGUGAGGAGGAGGCGGAGACGCCAGCUCAGGCGAAGCCUUCAGGGAAGACCCCCCAGAUCAGAGCUGCCUUGCCUCCUGCCAAGGAGUCCCCCAGGAAAGGGGCUGCCCCAACACCUCCUGGGAAGACAGGGCCUUCAGCUGC
rnacentral:sRNA from 1 species